rnacentral:rRNA from 1 species
ACGGGUGAGUAACGCGUGGGAACGUGCCUUCUGGUUCGGAAUAACUCAGGGAAACUUGAGCUAAUACCGGAUACGCCCUUUUGGGGGAAGGUUUACUGCCGGAAGAUCGGCCCGCGUCUGAUUAGCUAGUUGGUGGGGUAACGGCCUACCAAGGCGACGAUCAGUAGCUGGUCUGAGAGGAUGAUCAGCCACACUGGGACUGAGACACGGCCCAGACUCCUACGGGAGGCAGCAGUGGGGAAUAUUGGACAAUGGGCGCAAGCCUGAUCCAGCCAUGCCGCGUGAGUGAUGAAGGCCUUAGGGUUGUAAAGCUCUUUUAUCCGGGACGAUAAUGACGGUACCGGAGGAAUAAGCCCCGGCUAACUUCGUGCCAGCAGCCGCGGUAAUACGAAGGGGGCUAGCGUUGCUCGGAAUCACUGGGCGUAAAGGGCGCGUAGGCGGUCUUUUAAGUCGGGGGUGAAAGCCUGUGGCUCAACCACAGAAUUGCCUUCGAUACUGGGAGACUUGAGUUCGGAAGAGGUUGGUGGAACUGCGAGUGUAGAGGUGAAAUUCGUAGA